UCCGGUUGAUCCUGCCGGAGGCCACCGCUAUUGGAAUCCGCUUAAGGCAUGCGAGUCGAGAGUCUUCGGGACUCGGCGCACUGCUCAGUAACACGUGGACAAUCUACCCUGGGGUGGGGGAUAACCUCGCUAAAGUGAGAACAAUACCCUAUGGACCGAGUCCGCUGGAAUGCUACACGGUUGAAAGCUCCGGCGCCCCAGGAUGAGUUUGCGGCCUAUCAGGUUGUAGUGGGUGUAAAGGACCUACUAGCCUACGACGGGUACGGGCCUUGGGAGAGGUCGCCCGGAGUUGGAUUCUGAGACACGAAUCCAGGCCCUACGGGGCGCAGCAGCCGCGAAACCUCCGCACUGCAGGAAACUGCGAUGGGGGGAAUCCAAGUGCAUGCACAUUGUGUAUGCUUUUCUUAAGUGUACGUAGCUUGAGGAAUAAGGGCUGGGUAAGACCGGUGCCGGCCGCCGCGGUAAUACCGGCAGCCCGAGUGGUGGUCACUAUUAUUGGGCCUAAAGCGUCCGUAGCCGGCUCGGUAAAUCCUUGGGUAAAUCAUCCGGCUUAACCGAAUGACUACCGAGGCGACUGCCGGGCUUGGGACUGGGAGAGGCUAGAGGUACUCAUGGGGUAGGGGUAAAAAUCCAGUAAUCCUAUGGGGACCACCAGUGGCGAAGGCGUCUAGCUGGAACGGCUCCGACGGUAAGGGACGAAGCCCAGGGGCACAAACCGGAUUAGAUACCCGGGUAGUCCUGGGUGUAAACGCUGCGGACUUGGUGUUGGGGGUCCUGCUAGGGCGCCCAGUGCCGGAGAGAAGUUGUUAAGUCCGCCGCCUGGGGAGUACGGUCGCAAGGCUGAAACUUAAAGGAAUUGGCGGGGGAGCACCGCAACGGGUGGAGCGUGCGGUUUAAUUGGAUUCAACGCCGUAAAACUCACCGGGGGCGACGUUUGUAUGAAGGCCAGAUUGAUGAUCUUGCCAGAUUUUACGAGAGGUGGUGCAUGGCCGCCGUCAGUUCGUACCGUAGGGCGUUCUGUUAAGUCAGAUAACGAACGAGACCCCUGCCCCUAUUUGCCAACCCACUCCCAGGAGGGGGCGCACUAUAGGGGGACCGCCAGAGCUAAUCUGGAGGAAGGGGGGGCAACGGUAGGUCAGUAUGCCCCGAAUCCCCCGGGCUACACGCGCGCUACAAAGGGUGGGACAAUGGGAAUCGACACCGAAAGGUGUAGUAAUCCCGAAACCUAUUCGUAGUCCGGACUGAGGGCUGUAACUCGCCCUCACGAAGCUGGAAUCCGUAGUAAUCGUGGAUCAACAUCCCACGGUGAAUAUGCCCCUGCUCCUUGCACACACCGCCCGUCAAACCAUCUGAGUUGGGGGUGGGUGAGGCUUUCUCCUCGUGGGAAGGUCCAGCCCGUCUUCGACAAGGAGGGUUAAGUCGUAACAAGGUA
rnacentral:rRNA from 1 species